rnacentral:rRNA from 1 species
GAUGAACGCUGGCGGCGUGCCUAAUACAUGCAAGUCGAGCGAACAGACGAGGAGCUUGCUCCUCUGACGUUAGCGGCGGACGGGUGAGUAACACGUGGAUAACCUACCUAUAAGACUGGGAUAACUUCGGGAAACCGGAGCUAAUACCGGAUAAUAUAUUGAACCGCAUGGUUCAAUAGUGAAAGACGGUUUUGCUGUCACUUAUAGACGGAUCCGCGCCGCAUUAGCUAGUUGGUAAGGUAACGGCUUACCAAGGCAACGAUGCGUAGCCGACCUGAGAGGGUGAUCGGCCACACUGGAACUGAGACACGGUCCAGACUCCUACGGGAGGCAGCAGUAGGGAAUCUUCCGCAAUGGGCGAAAGCCUGACGGGGCAACGCCGCGUGAGUGAUGAAGGUCUUCGGAUCGUAAAACUCUGUUAUUAGGGAAGAACAAAUGUGUAAGUAACUAUGCACGUCUUGACGGUACCUAAUCAGAAAGCCACGGCUAACUACGUG